GAAAAGGCAAUUUGAUUAAAUAAAGCUACCUGCCAAUCAUGCUGAAAGUUAUAAAAGGAAAGCAUUUUGUAGCUAAGUAAAACUUUUCUCCAUAUUCUCUCUUUCUCUCUUUCGCGAUCCUUAAAAAGAGAAGCAAUGGGAAACUAUGUGCCCCAAAGGAAGAUCAGGGCAAUAUGUGGACACCUGACAAAGGAGUUAAAAGUUACUCUUCAUCCCAGUGAUUCACCAUGAAGCAAAGAUGACAUGAUGGAGGAAUCAAGGGACAAAGGAAAAGCAGCAGGCAACGAGGCAUACACACUAAUCCAGGAACCCAAGCUGCAGUGGGUAUAUUCAGGUAUCCCUUGCUCCAUGUAUUUCUGUAUUUAUUUUCUGUUUUUCAGGAGGCAUGUUUUGUGGGGUAAAAGUGGAGAAGGGAAGGGCCAGCAGAGGUGAAACACAAGGAAAAAUGAGGCUGCAGGUGAUGAACCUGACAAAAUCAGGGAUGGGAUGGUAGGAGAGCACUAGAAGGGCUGCAGCAAGAAAGAGAGAGAAAAGCAGAAGAGGUGGUGGAUGGCAUGGGCUGGAGGGCAAAGGACAAGACAGGGAAAGAGAAAUCAGAAAUCAUCUUGUGCAUAGGGCUUGAGGUGCCCAAGGAUCCCUGGAGAGCGGGCAGGGAUGUAGGACUGCAGAUGUGCUCAGCAGGGUUUGUGCUACGGGGCUCCCUCCACACCACCCACAGGGCCCCCACUACCAAAGCAGCAGACACAUAUUCUCCUGCAGCAGCAAAUGAGGCCACGCAUUACUCAGCGGCACGUCAACAACGGUGGGGUUAAUUUUUUGUGCUAUUUAAUUUCACUGACUCUGUGGGCUGGGAAGAGGGCAAGAGUUGUGUAACACAGUGUGAUUCCAUCUCUGAACAUCAUCGUGUCUGGUGGCCAAAGACAGGAACGGGGCCUGGCAGCUCACUCUCCUUGGCUUUGGGAGGCAGUAGCUUCUCAGGACAUCACAUACUUAAUUAACUGAGCUAAGGAAUUGUGGGAUCAGAUUCAUGCAGCUGCUUCUCUGCUGGAAACCAAGAGUGUCAGCCUGGAUCGCUCUGUUCUGGGCUUCAGAGCUGGAAGUUUGGUUCCUGACUCCUGGCUACGCAGCAUCAGUCACAUGAGGCUGCUGUGGGUGCCGCGGGGCUCCUCACAUUAGGACACUUGCUGAGGAGCAGUAUCAGCCAACCACUCUUAGACAGCAAUGAAACCUAUGGGAAGGGCUCAGGGAGAGGUUUCUUUCUCUCAAAAACAAAGCCUGAAAAAUUUAAGUACUUCAGAGGAGGAAAGGCAUCCCCCCUCGAGUGACCGUGUGUCUCCUGCCCUCGGUGCUGAACCACUGGCUGACCGGAGCUAUGCUGGGAUUACUGAGCUUUGGGAUGCGACGUUCAACAUGCCAGCUGCAGUUUGAUGGGUGGGGAGAAGAAGCAGACCUCCAUCCUGACAAACUCAGGUUCCUCAUUUCUUUUUCCCUUGGUCUCCACGUGCAGUCACUCUGCAGCAGGUCACUUUUUUGACAUAUAUAACUCAUCCUGCUUUACUGAGACUGCACACAGUAAAGCACACAACUCACAGGGAAAGGAUUUUUAACCAAACUGGAGAUGGGCAGCAUAGCAUAAGCACGAGUCCAGGUACCCACAGGGAUUUCUGGUCUUUCAAACAGUAAUGCUGAAAGAAGUCCUGCUGGAAAGCAUCAUGCUUGUCUAUAAUCAUUUGCAAGAUCAAAACCUUAUUUUGUGGCAGAGGAAAAGCCCAGGGUUUUUUAGAUGUUUCUUUCAUGUAAGUCUACAGAAACUGCUGUUGCUUACAGUGAUUUCAAGUAUUAAAGAGUUUGUGUCUCAUAUUACAUUUAUUGUAUAAGUUAUAGGGGAAAUGCGGAUUUCACAUGAGAAGCCACAUGAAUUUUUGUCGUAAGUCCAGCAGUUAAAAACUGUACAGACAAGAGUGAUUAAAUUUAUUUCUAAGGCUGCAUUCUGCAAUGUUCUGGGGUUACCAAUCAGACCUUUUUCUCACUCUUUGCUGUACUAGGCCUCCUCCUGAACUAUGUCAAGGCAGGUGGCACGUUUGGGCUGUCUGCCUCAUCUCCCUAGGGAACCUCAGGACAGAAAGUCCCCUCCAUCCCCCUCAAACUUCAGCCAUUAUAAAUGGCACAAAAAUUGAUAAUCGAACAAGUACAAAAGGGUAACUUGCUCAUCCUUUGUCUGCAUCAUGCUAUGAAAUACUUUUACGAGAUUAUUUGUGCUGAUUUGUCUGCUUUGCUUUGAUAGUAGGAAAGCUGAUGGUGAAUGCACAGGAUUUUCACCACAAUUGCACUAAAUUAUAAUACAAUCAAAUACAUAGUAAGUCCUCAUGCUUAUCAGGAAACAGAUCAGUUCUGUUUUAAUUUAGUGUACCUGAUCUAUUGCACCUCCUGGGCUGUAUCUCUGAAGAAAUAUGUCAAGACAUUCCUUCUCUGUACCUACAAUUGCUUACAGUUUAUACCAUGAAAGGGGGAAUCAGCACAAAUGAAUCCUGACAAAAUAUCUUACAAAACUAAUAAAAAUCAGCAUGUAGAAAUGCCAGCUGUAAUUGGACUAUUUUGCCAUAAAAAGUCUGUGGGCCAAUCAAA